ACACCCAAUCGUAGCUGACGCAGCGACGCCGCGUGGAGGAGAGGCCUUCGGGUUGUAAACUCCUGUCGGAGGGACGAAGGGCCAGAUUUCUCGGGGAUGACGCCACCUCUAGAUCUGGGCCCGGAUACGUGCGUGUCAGCAGCCGCAGUAAU
rnacentral:rRNA from 1 species